GUCGGGGUUCGGGUUGCGUCUUUCAUGUGAGAGAGAGGAUGAUUGAUCUUAUUUUGCAACAUUGGCCAUUAGGUUAUAUUAUGCAUAGGUACGAUCCAAUGAUGGAGUCAUACGAAGAAAAAUAAAUUCUUUUUUUACAUUAAAGAUACAAUCCCUGUUCACCGGAUGGCGGGUCCGGAUUAUCAAAGGUGUCGAGCCGUCUAGGUGGUGGGCCCAGCAGGCCGGGGGAUGGAUGUGGAAUUUUAGAGGGUGGUAUUGGAUGGAAUUAAUGGGACGGGGGGAUGGAGAAAGGGGGUCGCUGUGAUUGAUUUGGUUGUUGCUCUUAUCAUUAUGGAAGGAGCCUUCAAGGUGUUUUAAGGGUUGGCAUCGCACUCGCUGGGAUGUGGAGUGAUAAACACAAGCUGUAGGUGGAGAGAAGUUGAGGAAA
rnacentral:lncRNA from 1 species